UAUUUUUUCCCCUGUAUAAUUUCAUAUCAUUGGGAUACAGUCAAAUAAAAAUUAGUAAAACAAGUUACAUUUCAGAGGAAGAAAAUAUUUGCUCAUCUUGUCUUGCAGUGUCUGGAGACUUCUGCAACUGUUUACUUGUUCACUUUCUGUAAGCUGUUGUCAGCUCAGCUGUCUGAACUACAGCUUCAUUUUUAAAUAUUUUUCACUGAAAAAAUACCAACUAAGUCUCUGAAUGUUUUAUGUCUACAGCCACAUCAGAUAUCACAACAAAAAGGAAGCUUAUGUCUUGAAAUUACUCAGUGUUGGCUUCACCCUUGUCAAGGGCUGGCUCCCCAUACAGAAACUGACAGGUUUAGGGUACACUAGAUAUAUUUCAUCAGUGAGAGGAAUCAAGUUCUGUGUGUGUACAGAACAUGGUCUUAAAGGCAGUGAUUUCACUGACAAAAAACAGAAGACAUCUUUUUCCUUCAGAGCUGUAGACACCUGACUGAAAAACACAGGGUAACCAGACACACCGUAAGGGGGAGAUGCAAAGACAGUGGGUAGAGUGCUCCUACUGAGCAUUUCCAUUCUGAAGGGCCAUUCAAAUGCCUCUCUACAAAAAAACCUGAAUGUAAAUAAUGUCAACUGUCUAUGAAAGCAGGUGAUUUAGGUCACUGAGCAGCGUACCUUUGUUAAAUUAUAUUAUUCUUUCAAAUACUCAACUUACAUCUGAGCUAUUCCCUUUGAUUGUCUAUAAAAUCUUCUCUAAGGAGAACUAUCCACUGCUUUAGAAAGGAAAGCAAACAAAUGGAGGCAUUUUAUCCAUUGAAUAUUGGAAAAAAUGUCAGGUAAGGAAGACCACACAUGAUCUAGCCAAAGGAGAUCUGAAACUAACUGCAGGUGAUGAGAAGGUAAUGAAAUGCAUGUGAGUAUCCCUGAGAACUGUGGGAGUGGGACACGUUUUUAUUAUUGGCAUAAAAAUAUCACCAAAUGUCUCAUCAUUCUUAGCUCCAUUCUUAUUGCAGGAAAAAAAAGACUGGGUAGAGGAUGGUGCCGGACAAAGCAAAACCUAAUUCGGUAAAGAGUAUAUAAAUGCUGGAAAUUCAGUUAAAUUUCAAGCUCACGUUUCACUCUUUGGAUUGAAAUCAGGCAAAAGUUUUGCUCAAGGAUCUUGGAAUUUCCUUGUGUCUUUUCUCCACAGUGACUGGCAGUUAGACCUACCCAACUGGGCCAAGGAAGCUUCUGAAAUUUUUACUUUUGCCAGACUUUGAAGGAGAGAGGAAUGUGGAACAAGCAACCUCUUUCUCCUUCUUUGUUUUGACUCUGACAAUCAGAUCCAGUUGCAGACUGUCCUCAGAGGCCCAGAGACUGUGAUCUUUCCUCUUUUAGGGAGUCUGCAUGUGAAAUAGGUCCCCAGAACCACACUGACCCCCCAAUUGACAGAAUCUUGCACAGCACUCCAGGUUUGCUGUGGAGGAAGUCUUCCCUCGUUACAGACAGCUACUUGGGAUGUCAAGGUAGGGCAGCAGCUACCAUUCAGUGUGGCAUCUGUUGUGCAAUGUGGCCACUUAGGAGCUUAGAAAUCCUGUAAUCGAAUGUAUUUCAGUACGGCAAGAUGCUGUUACUUUUCUCUGUUUUAGUGCAAAUUAGAGAGAACUCAGCUGUGGCUAAAUACUUACUGCUUUUUACUGUGUUUUCAACACAAUCCUUUUAUGUGUAUGUACAUCUCGCCUGCAAACAUUCCUACACACUCAACAACAGAUGCAUUGAGGAUAAUUCUGCCAAUUACAAAGCUACUAGGAGAGCUGUAGUUGAACUCUGAGUAUAGAGCAGCCAGCUGAAGUAGACAACAACAAUUUCUGACACAGCCAGUCACAGCUGACAUUUCUGUUCUUGAUCCACUGAGUCAUCUGAAUCCUGUAAGAACACUCAUCAUGGAAAUAGUCUGAAACAGAAAAAUAGUCUGAGCUCUCCUGCAGAAUAUAUUCUUGACCCAAUCUGUAAUGUUAAGAAAGGGCUCUGAUAGCUGCAUAUAUUUUUCUUCACUUGUAGGUAAUAGGGGUGCACUGCUUACUGGUCCUAGUCCUUGUGGUCACAGUGGGAUUGUCACGGUUUUAUUAGUUACUUUUGCACUUUCUGAUGUUCCUGUAAAACAACAUUCUGUUUCAGGAGAUGUGCCUGUCAAGGAAGCAGGGAGAAGGUGGAUGACAUGAUGAGUGGCUUCCAACACUUUGUUUAUGUCUCCACGGGGUGGAAGCAUUUUGUUAACUCUGCACUCUCAAUGUGGAUCAGUCACUGCUGCCAACAUAAAUAAUUUCAAAUAUUUCACUGAGAAUUGCUGCAAAGCUACAGGAGAUUUUCUGCCUAUGUGAUUGAGAUUGUGUCUCCUUUGAUUUCAACUUGAUUUAAUUUUAUAGAAGGAGAGGCAAAUAUAGGAUGAGUGUUAGUGCAGCCCUGCAACUUGCAUUAUUGAUACUUCCAAACUGUCCAGUUCAAAUGGGGGCAGAAUGUUAACAGAACUGAGAGUAUCAGUCUAGUGGCUGAAGGACAAAAAUAAGCUGCCUUUUUGAUCUUUGCUGGUCAACAAAAGCAUGCUUUGCUAGCUCCAGAAGUCUUUCAUGUGAGACAAAAUGGACAGAGAUGAAAACCCAUGUCUGAUCUAACACUUUGGCAAGCUUUAUUUUCUUACACCCGCAGGAGAAGAUUUCUGGCCUUUCAAAAAAAUGGACAAAAGUAAAUCAGAAGUCCCUUUCUGCAAUGUAGAAAGUCACUGUUAAAGUUUAUUCUGUGUAAAAAACAUGCUCUGUAUGCAGAAUUAUCAUCCCUAAAAACCUGCACUCCUUUGAAAUUAGAUUGGUCAGAAAACCAGAGCCUCUGGGUAUAAACCAAACCCUCAGUUCUCUAAAUGGAUCACAGUGUAAGAUUUAGAAAAAAUAUUUACUGUACUUGUCAUCACUUUUCUGGUGUUUUUUUUUGAGAAACUGGAUCAGGCAGAGCUGUAGCCUGAUAAAUUUCUCUAACCACUGACUUGGAGUACAUAUACCUGAAACUGAGCAAGUAAUUCAAAAUAAUUUUUCAGAUAAAUUCAUUUUCUUAUUUAUUUUCUGCAUGUAGAAAACCUGUGAGGAAGUAAUGGGUUCCAUUAAUUCACUAAUUGUUUGAAAGCACUCCACAUAUUCAAAGUGAUAUUUUUAUUACCUUAAAAUGGAGUGAUCGGAAAUAAUUUGUUGAGUUAUUUGCAUUAAAUGUCUGUCCCUGCUUCGAUGAGCUUUUCUGUCAUUGUGAAGAUAAGAAGAUGGGAAAUCUCUGAGGCUUUUGUAUUUUCAGACAAUGGGAACAGAUUAGGGACAAGAAAGAGAAAAUGAAGAUUAGGGGAUUUUAGAAAAAUAAACCUGUGUAUUGCUGUUGGUUUUCCUGACAGAAAAAAUGGAUUUUUUUUUUAUUGUGGUACAUUUAUUUCUGUCAUGUUUAGAACCCAUGCAAUGGUCUGUUAUUCUCUGUGGGUCACUCAGGUAAGGCAAAGACAAACCCUGCUGCCCUGGACUUCAGAACAGUGCAAAGCAAAGAGCAGGUGAGAGAGUUUCAUGGGAGAGGGGAUGUCCAACUCAAGCUUCUCCUCUGUUACUGUUUUCAGCCUUCUUGACAUUUCUCAAAGUAAGCUGUAUUUCAGAUUAGUAGCCCUUGGCAGUAGGCUGGAGAAAGAUGAGAUUUUAGUGUGAUAAGCUACACAGGCAUGGGGGGAAAGCAAAGAAUAUGUGUGAAAAAUUGAAAUGACAAGGUCAUGUUGAUAGCUUGGUUGUGGGAGCUGCCACGGUAGUUUGUUGCAUUAUGAUUAGAGAUGGGCCAACUAGCAUGAAUGAGAUGAGAGCUGGUUUGAACCUUCAUCCACUCCUCUAACCAGACUGCAGAGGAGCCCAUGGUGAGGCUAAAAUACAUCUAGCACUGGUACAUUUGGUUUCUCAGCAUUAUUUAAUGAGCUUCUGCUUCUGACAAUUUAGCCUAGAAUAGGAAACGGGAAUCUAGAAAAAUUGUCAGGACAUUAAUCCAGUCUAAAAUCCUUCAAUCUGGAAAACUUGAUUGCAUAAAACCACUUAAAGACAUUUUCAUGCCAUUCCCAGACUUCCAUCUGUAAAAAAGAGCUCCAUAUCCCUGUUAAUAACCAUCCUGUUAACAAAAUGAAACAAAGUCUGCAAAGCUUUCAAAUUUCAACACGGGGUCUUUUUAAUUAUGAAGCCCUCAGAUGAGAUGCCAAGCUGCUGUCAAAGGGUGAGUGUGAGAGUAGUCUGUGUACGAGGACUUGCAGUGGGAACUGCACUGAGCUAGGCGUACGAUCCCUCUGUCAGCUGUUUCUCUUCUCUUUGGCUUUAUCCUGUGGGAAGUAGCUUUACAUUCAGAUUCAGACUACAAGGGAUUCUACGAAAGCUGAAUUUCUGCACUGGCCGUGCUUAUUCUGCAGUGUGUGUCACACUCCCCGCAGUGAGGGCUAAGUUCUCCCUAUUUUGUGCAGCCUCUGUCUAAUGCAGACAAAAUUCCUCUUCUCACAAGGAUUCCAGGAGAAAGCAAAGGCAGAGAGCAAGGGCAAGUGGAGACAAGCACUGCAGUUUACCUUGGACUCCCUGUUUUGAAACACUUGCCAAGCUCACUGAGGUAAUAGUUGUGAUUUGAUUGAAUAACAAAAUCCAUAUCCAGCCCAUUUCUCCAAAGUGCAGUCAGCAGCGCAGGAUUCUUCUCUUCCUUUUGCCUUAAUAAUGUCACUGCUUAGUUCUUGGUUACAGGUAUUCAUGAUGGAUACAGUGGGGCAGAAAUACACAGGAGUCCAGAGUGUUUUGAAGUGGCUCUAGGAGUCACUGAAAUAAUGACCUAUAUUGGUGUUGGAAACUUUUUUCCUGACCAUUUUCAUCCUCAGUGUGCUUUACAGACCUGAGAGCUGCAUCUCUUUGAACUGUGGCAAUGCAGAGCAGAAAGCAGCUUCUCCAGCUGAGGCUGCAGGGAACACUGCUACGUGAGGACUGGAAGGAUAAGCAGAGCUUCUCACCCAUAUCUGGAUAAAGGAUUGCCUCUUAACAUGCUUUCCCUUUCUUCCCCUCCCUUCCACUCCCCUCCCAAAAGUAUACAGCAGUGAAAGAAGGUAACCAAAGGCUCCUUUUCUCUUUUACUUGGAGGUAAAUGGACCUGACCUACCUCUUAAUGAAAUCUCCUUUUUACACGAUGAAGACAGCAGCUUGGAAAAACAGAAAAAGAAAAAGGGAGUUUAAAGACACAUGACUUCGAUGUUACUGAAGAUUGUGUCACAAUCAUCAAAUGGAGCUGGUGCCAAAUAAACCAGAUGGAGCUUUCAAUCAACAAACUGCAUUUAUUUUUGAUAUCUGUGGCUUAUUUGUUACCCAUGCACCUUUUAAUAGGAUAAGGAUUUCUGAGAUAUUAUCACAUGGUUCUAUCAUGGAUACCUUCUGCAGGCACCAGUUUGCCACCAAAGACACUAAUCACGGAAGAAAGUGGUAUAGAAACUUGUAUUGAUGUUUUGCCUUUCCAAAGGAAGUAAAUGACAGCAAAGCAUAUUUCAAGGUCUGGUUGCCAACAUACUCAAUUAAGCAGAGUUUGGAGGAGGAGGAGAAGGAGGAGGGGGAUGGCUGGAAACUCCCAGUCAUACUACAAAUGACAGCUAUCUGCUGUCAGAGACCUGGUGACGUUGAACCAAACUGUGAAAUAUGUGUAAUUCCUCAAAUAUCACUGAUGAUGAAGCACCAGAUUUUUAUUUUUUUCCAUGUGGAUGUGACUGCUUUUGACCAUGACAGGUUUUCAUAAAUCUGGUGUCAUUAUAGAACACAUGACUUGUGUCACCACUGCUACAACAAGAGAAAUCCAUCACAGAUCAAAGUGCCAGGAGAAGUCAUAUUCACUAUAUAAGCCCCACUUAAGCUUUCCAAAUACAGCUUGAGUGGAAUUUAAGUGGGCCAUAGACCAUGUUUCUGCUCCUAUACACAGGCAUGAAUUUUACAAUUUGAAAACAAAACUAAAAUAAAAAGCAUUUUCUUAUAUAACACAAAGCUAUCUGAAGUCACAAGGCCAUUCAGACCUAGAUAUCUUUGCCAAUAUUUUACCUUGAAUGCCAUGUUAGUUUUUGUAGAAUAUGAACCUAAACAAUAAAACUUUCCAGUAUUAUUUUAAUACUUCUAAUAUUAGACCUUCAGCCUAUGUCCUAUAUUAUAUCUUUCUGAACAGAGCUGUCUGUAACAUUCUCAGACCACAAGCUCUUUGAGCAAGGAUCAUGCUUACCUACUUGUUCAUGUGUUGCAUAGAUUGUUGCAGGCUACAAACAAUAACUUUUCUACUGUAAGAUAUUUCUUGAACUCUGAAAAAUCCACAUUUAUUUAUCUCUCAAUGUAGUGUAUAUACAUAUAUAUGUAUGUAUACAUAUAUGUGUGUGUGUGUAUGUAUAUAUAUAUAUAAACUGAUAAAUAUAUACAUUUGCUUACAGGAAAGUGAUGGUGCUACUUCUCUCUAAUGCUUCUAGACUUAGGCAGCCUCUUCAUAUUCAUAUUCACAUUCACAUUCUUUUUUCCCUUUCCAAUAUUUAAAUGUAAUGCUAACUUCUAUUUUUAAUGUGUUUUUUAUAGUAAGCAAAGUCUAAGACACUGUAAAAUAGCUAUACAAUUAAAAAAAAAAUAUAAUGACUAAUUUAAAGCCUACAGAGAU